UGUCACUCCAGGACUCUCGUCAUCUCCGUUGCAUCUCCUUUCUUUGCAUCCAUUCCGGAGCUCUCCAGUCGAAGACAUGGACGGCUUGCUUGGGAAAUACCUCUUCGUGGUGGUUGCUGCCACACUGGCUGCACUGAUGCUGGCCCCAAACGAAGCUGAGGCGAUUCCGAGCUUUAUCACGGACGCUAUUUCAAAGGCCGUUGGACGAAAUGAAGAAAAAGUCGAGUAGCAAAGCAUCAGUCCUCGCGACACAAGAUGGCCGAUCUGCGUUCCGUUGAGGACAACUGAUUCGUAACUGAAUAAAAUGAAUUACGAAAAAAUGGCCUGAAAUGAAUGUACACCUGCACAUCAUUAAAGACCAACUUUCUUUUUUGUGCCGAAUGCCACUUUCUUUUUAAUUUCCGUACUUGUAAUCGCUCUUAAGCGCUGCUAUGCAUACAUAUCUUAUUUUGUGCCUUCAUCGCAUUUAAAAUGAGACUUUCUUUAUUAAAAUAUUUCGUGUUCUGGUUUUAA